UACGGGGGGUGCGAGCGUUGUCCGGAAUCACUGGGCGUAAAGGGCGCGUAGGUGGUUUGAUAAGGGUGUGGUGAAAGUCCGGGGCUCAACUCCGGAUCUGCCGUGCCGACUGUCAAACUCGAGGACUGUAGAGGCAGACGGAAUUCCGGGUGUAGCGGUGGAAUGCGUAGAGAUCCGGAGGAAGACCGGUGGCGAAGGCGGUCUGCUGGGCAGUUUCUGACACUGAGGCGCGACAGCGUGGGGAGCAAACAGG
rnacentral:rRNA from 1 species